ensembl:snoRNA
GAUGCCCCUGAAGUUGUUGCAGCCCAACUGUCGUGUUGCGUUGCGUCACAAGGCGGCAGAGAGCGAGCGGUGGUCGUCUGCACUGAGACUCACAAACCCAUUGAGGACUCGGAGUGAUAAUCGGCACCGACAAU